rnacentral:rRNA from 1 species
GCUAAACGCGAAGAACCUUACCUGGCCUUGACAUGUCCGGAAUUCUGCAGAGAUGCGGAAGUGCCUUCGGGAAUCGGAACACAGGUGCUGCAUGGCUGUCGUCAGCUCGUGUCGUGAGAUGUUGGGUUAAGUCCCGCAACGAGCGCAACCCUUGUCCUUAGUUGCCAGCGAGUAAUGCCGGGAACUCUAAGGAGACUGCCGGUGACAAACCGGAGGAAGGUGGGGAUGACGUCAAGUCCUCAUGGCCCUUACGGCCAGGGCUACACACGUACUACAAUGGUCGGUACAGAGGGUUGCCAAACCGCAAGGUGGAGCCAAUCCCAGAAAGCCGAUCCCAGUCCGGAUCGGAGUCUGCAACUCGACUCCGUGAAGUCGGAAUCGCUAGUAAUCGCGGAUCAGCUAUGCCGCGGUGAAUACGUUCCCGGGUCUUGUACACACCG